UUGGGUUUCCGCCAAAGCCUAUAAAAGGGAAUCCGGUGCGAAUCCGGGACAGUGCCCGCUACUGUAAGCGCUUUCCAAGAAGGAGGAACUCCACACAUGCCACUGCCUACGGGCGGGAAGGUCUGCCUCUUUCAGCGUAAGUCAGGAAACCUGCCAAGCGAAGU
rnacentral:ncRNA from 1 species